AGUGAACGCUGGCGGUAGGCCUAACACAUGCAAGUCGAACGGCAGCACAGUAAGAGCUUGCUCUUACGGGUGGCGAGUGGCGGACGGGUGAGGAAUACAUCGGAAUCUACUUUUUCGUGGGGGAUAACGUAGGGAAACUUACGCUAAUACCGCAUACGACCUACGGGUGAAAGCAGGGGAUCUUCGGACCUUGCGCGAUUGAAUGAGCCGAUGUCGGAUUAGCUAGUUGGCGGGGUAAAGGCCCACCAAGGCGACGAUCCGUAGCUGGUCUGAGAGGAUGAUCAGCCACACUGGAACUGAGACACGGUCCAGACUCCUACGGGAGGCAGCAGUGGGGAAUAUUGGACAAUGGGCGCAAGCCUGAUCCAGCCGUACCGCGUGGGUGAAGAAGGCCUUCGGGUUGUAAAGCCCUUUUGUUGGGAAAGAGAAGCAGCAGGUUAAUACCCCGCUGUUCUGACGGUACCCAAAGAAUAAGCACCGGCUAACUUCGUG
rnacentral:rRNA from 1 species